CCAACACUCAGAAGCACACUCAGGCUUUGCCAGCCUUUGUCUAGGCUCUUACACCUCCAGGAGAUGGAAGCACACCUUCAUCCUCCAGGUUAGACAAAGGUUCCUUACAGGCAAUGCUCAGCCCUCCAGCAGAAAGCACUAAAAGCCCAGCUCCUCUCCAGCCCAAAUCCCAGAAUAGUCACCCAGCCCCCUGAACAUACCAGCACCUCUCCACUAGGAAACCCAAACCAGCCCCCACCCCCUUGGGUGCCCUCUAUAGCCAGCAAUAAUAGCUAACAGCAAUCACAUGGGGGCCCACCUGCCUAAAUGAAAGCUUUGACCACCUGAUUCCCAUAGGUCUGGCGAGGGAUUUAGAAUGAAAAUAUCAUCAAGUUUGGAAAAGACCACUAAGAUAAUCCAGUCCAACCCCAAUCCAGCCCUGCCAUGCUCACUGACUACGUCCCUCAGUGCCUCAUCUCUGCAGACUUGAACACCUCCAGGGACAGUGACUUCCCACCACCCUGAGCAGCUGUGCCACUUGGAGAAGAAAUUUUUCCUAGUGUCCCACCUGAACCUCCUCUGGUGCAACUGGAGAACAAUAAUCUUACAGAACCAGGCAGAAAUCCUGCUGGGUUACACUCCUGCCACCUAUUCUUCCUUGUGUCAUGGGUUGUUACUUAUUCUCCAAGAGGCUUUAAUGUCGGUCAGCCUGUUAUGUGCCAUUUGUUUAACACAGAGGUUACUGUGAAUGUUCUUUUUGAUACUAUCAGCUGUGAUUCUAAUGCUUCAAGAUAGCAUCAAAUUAUCUAAUGUUAAGUAAACAAACCCAAGAGUGCCGUAAAAAAAUAAUGGUUUGGAGGAAUGUCUUUUAGUUUCUAUGUUUUGCCUUUCUAGGGCAAAAUUAUAAGCAAAAGUUGAGAGCUGGAGCAGAAUUUAAAAUAAAAGCUGAGCUUUUAAAUACUGGGAAUGGAUGUCCCGGGGCUCAAAAAAGAUCCUUGAAUACUUGAAGACAGAACAGCUUUACAAGAACCAGCUGUGCUGAAACCAUUCACCUCACUUUUUACACACGAGGUGCAGAGAGACAAAUGCCCGGUGCGAUGUCAGCAUCCACACACCACAGGUGCUCUUUCCAAAAGUGGAGCACUAAAUGCCAGCAAAGCACUGGCUGGGUGCUGCCAAGGUAAAAGAGUCAGGCUUCAUUUGGGGCAAGGGAGGCAGGAGCUCGACCACCCUUCCCCCCAGCCCUUGGCUUUAGCUGUGCCAAGGCCAGGCUGCUCUAUCAUUACGAUAAGGGUAAUCCUGUUAGGCAAACACAUCAAACAAAUAAUCAUUCAUGAUUGCAGACUUUGUCUAGGCAAAUGUAACCCCAGGAUAAAAAUGUGCUGAGCGCACAGUCC
rnacentral:lncRNA from 1 species